rnacentral:tRNA from 1 species
GCCCAGGUGGUGAAAUUGGUAGACACGCCAGCUUCAGGUGCUGGUGAUCGCAAGGUCGUGGUGCACCA